CAGUCGCCGCGGGAAUACGAAGGGUGCAAGCGUUACUCGGAAUUACUGGGCGUAAAGCGUGUGUAGGUGGUUGUUUAAGUCUGUCGUGAAAGCCCUGGGCUCAACCUGGGAAUUGCGAUGGAUACUGGGCGACUAGAGUGCGGUAGAGGAUAGUGGAAUUUCCGGUGUAGCAGUGAAAUGCGUAGAGAUCGGAAGGAACAUCUGUGGCGAAGGCGACUAUCUGGGCCAACACUGACACUGAGACACGAAAGCGUGGGGAGCAAACAGGAUUAGAUACCCCUGUAGUCCCUGUCUCUUAUAC
rnacentral:rRNA from 1 species